GGGGCAUUCUGUUUCGGAGUGCAAUUUCCAUGUGGCCCAUGUAGCGUGCAGUGCCCUCCUCUCCUGAGCUAGUAAUCUCCAUGAGGGGAAGACUUGUUCAUCCCUGUAGCACUACUGCCUAAAGCAGUACCUGACAAAAUGGAAACUACCCAGGGCAGAUGUCUUCAAAAAAAGAGCAGGAAGAAGGCAAAUGGCAGAUGAAAUGAGAUGUCAAUAUGGAACUACUCGAGCGUCAGUUGCAAGGGAAAAUCCAAGACAACAGAUAAUACAUUUCCAUUAAGAGCCAGCUGCCAUGUUGUCAGUUAUUCUAUGAAGCCUACAUGGCAAGAAGCCUAAGGCAGGCUCUGGCCAACAUCUCAUGAAGAAAUGAGGCCCUUAGGCCAACAACCCAUGAAGAACUGAAUCCCAUCAACAACUA
ensembl:lncRNA novel transcript, antisense to HDGFRP3